GACGAACGCUGGCGGCGUGCUUAACACAUGCAAGUCGCACGGAAAGGCCCUGCUUUUGUGGGGUGCUCGAGUGGCGAACGGGUGAGUAACACGUGAGUAACCUGCCCUUGACUUUGGGAUAACUUCAGGAAACUGGGGCUAAUACCGGAUAGGAGCUCCUGCUGCAUGGUGGGGGUUGGAAAGUUUCGGCGUUUGGGGAUGGACUCGCGGCUUAUCAGCUUGUUGGUGGGGUAGGGGCUUACCAAGGCUUUGACGGGUAGCCGGCCUGAGAGGGUGACCGGCCACAUUGGGACUGAUAUACGGCCCAGACUCCUACGGGAGGCAGCAGUGGGGAAUAUUGCACAAUGGGCUGAAGCCUGAUGCAGCAACGCCGCGUGCGGGAUGACGGCCUUCGGGUUGUAAACCGCUUUCGCCUGUGACGAAGCGUGAGUGACGGUAAUGGGUAAAGAAGCACCGGCUAACUACGUG
rnacentral:rRNA from 1 species